GACAUUUGCUCUUUUAGUAUUUGUCCAGUAGGUUUCUUUAAGGAGAAAGCACCCAC
rnacentral:snRNA from 1 species